UACGGGGGGGGCAAGCGUUGUUCGGAAUUACUGGGCGUAAAGGGCGCGUAGGCAGUGCUCUAAGUUAGAUGUGAAAACUCUGGGCUCAACCCAGAGCCUGCAUCUAAAACUGGAGUGCUAGAGUUCUGGAGGGGGUAGCGGAAUUCCUGGUGUAGCGGUGAAAUGCGUAGAUAUCAGGAGGAACACCGGUGGCGAAGGCGGCUACCUGGACAGAAACUGACGCUGAGGCGCGAAAGCUAGGGGAGCAAACAGG
rnacentral:rRNA from 1 species